rnacentral:lncRNA from 1 species
CUGCUGGUGAGUUAUUGCCGCCCAAGCAGCUCCCCAGGGCAGGAUACCUACCCAGCCCCUGGCCUCACCACAGCUUGUAAGAGAAAAUUACAUUUUGAUCUACAUUUCCCAUUUCCAUUCUCGGUCACCUGGCUUUGGAGACAAAGGGAAGAAAAGAGUGUUUUCUUGCUCUCUCUCUCUCUCUCUCUUCAGUUGUCUGUGUACUGUGCCCCCCUCCCUCUCCCUCUGCCAUCACUGUCCUGCUGGCCAGCUGGGGAGAUAAUGUAUCCCUGUGAGGAGUCAUCACUCAGGUCAUCUCCUGGUCUUGGGGUCAUCAAGGCCCAGAGUUGAGGGCAAGAUGGCAUCUGACAGUCACCAGAUGGACCCUGAAAGGAGUAACAAAGCCAUUCUUCCUCAGGCCUUCUGUGAUUGGCCCAGAACAACUCCCCAGAAAAUGUGUGAGUGCACUUUUGCAAACUUCCGAGAAAAUCACUCUCAACAAUGGGUGAGCGUGUUGGUCUUGGUGAAAUCCAGAACAAAAGCAGAGGUAUGUUGAAGUGUCAGCCAAGGACAACGGAUCAGAAACCCACUCCAGUGAACUCAAGUGCAACUGAGGCUUUGCUGUGCCAUUCCGAAAGGUGUCAUGGGAACCCAGAGGCAACGUGAGCAGCAGGCCCCA